rnacentral:rRNA from 1 species
GACGAACGCUGGCGGCGUGCUUAACACAUGCAAGUCGAACGGUGAAGCGCCUUCCUUUUUGGUGGGUGUGGAUGAGUGGCGAACGGGUGAGUAACACGUGAGUAACCUGCCCCCUUCUUCUGGAUAACCGCAUGAAAGUGUGGCUAAUACGGGAUAUUCUGGGUCUGUCGCAUGAUGGGUCUGGGAAAGAUAUUGUUUCGGUGGGGGAUGGGCUCGCGGCCUAUCAGCUUGUUGGUGGGGUGAUGGCCUACCAAGGCGGUGACGGGUAGCCGGCCUGAGGGGGUGGACGGUCACACUGGGACUGAGACACGGACCAGACUCCUACGGGAGGCAGCAGUGGGGAAUAUUGCACAAUGGGCGCAAGCCUGAUGCAGCGACGCCGCGUGAGGGAUGGAGGCCUUCGGGUUGUGAACCUCUUUCGCCAGUGAAGCAGGCCUGCCUCGUUUGUGGGUGGGUUGACGGUAGCUGGAUAAGAAGCGCCGGCUAACUACGUG